ACGCACGCUGGCGGCGUGCCUAAUACAUGCAAGUCGAGCGGACGGAUGGGAGCUUGCUCCCAGACCGUCAGCGGCGGACGGGUGAGUAACACGUGGGCAACCUGCCUGUAAGACUGGGAUAACUCCGGGAAACCGGGGCUAAUACCGGAUAACUCUUUCCCUCACAUGAGGGAAAGCUGAAAGAUGGCAUCUCGCUAUCACUUACAGAUGGGCCCGCGGCGCAUUAGCUAGUUGGUGAGGUAACGGCUCACCAAGGCGACGAUGCGUAGCCGACCUGAGAGGGUGAUCGGCCACACUGGCACUGAGACACGGCCCAGACUCCUACGGGAGGCAGCAGUAGGGAAUCUUCCGCAAUGGACGAAAGUCUGACGGAGCAACGCCGCGUGAGUGAUGAAGGUUUUCGGAUCGUAAAACUCUGUUGUCAGGGAAGAACAAGUACCGGAGUAACUGCCGGUACCUUGACGGUACCUGACCAGAAAGCCACGGCUAACUACGUG
rnacentral:rRNA from 1 species